rnacentral:sRNA from 1 species
GCUGGGCGUGGUGGUGCAUGCCUGUAAUCCCAGCAGCUCUGGAGGCUGAAGCAGGAGGAUAGCAAGUUCAAGCAGUCUCAGCAAAAGCAAGGCGGCAAGCAACUCAGUGAGACCCUGUCUCUA